rnacentral:rRNA from 1 species
UACGUAGGGGGCAAGCGUCGUCCGGAAUUAUUGGGCGUAAAGAGCUCGUAGGCGGUUUGUCGCGUCUGCUGUGAAAACCCGAGGCUCAACCUCGGGCCUGCAGUGGGUACGGGCAGACUAGAGUGCGGUAGGGGAGAUUGGAAUUCCUGGUGUAGCGGUGGAAUGCGCAGAUAUCAGGAGGAACACCGAUGGCGAAGGCAGAUCUCUGGGCCGUAACUGACGCUGAGGAGCGAAAGCGUGGGGAGCGAACAGG